UACGGAGGGGGCAAGCGUUGUCCGGAGUUACUGGCGUAAAGCGCACGCAGGCGGUCUCUUAAGUUUGGAGUGACAGUUGGUGGCUUAACUGCCAAAGUGCUUCGAAAACUGAGAGACUUGAGGGCUUCAGAGGGACACGGAAUUCCGGGUGGAGUGGUGAAAUGCGUAGAGAUCCGGAGGAACACCAAAGGCGAAGGCAGUGUCCUGGGGAGUACCUGACGCUCAGGUGCGAAAGCCAGGGGAGCG
rnacentral:rRNA from 1 species